GUUUCUGAGCAGUCCAGUUGAGCUGAAGGCAACAAUUUAUGUUGAACAGACUCUUCAGGAUGGAUCUACUUGUAUUGGGUCUGCUGCUUAUGGCCACCAGCUGCUCAGCUGAGCAAGCAGUUUCAGUGACUGUUCAGCCCUGGUUGAUCGGCCUGUCAGCCGUCGUUGGUUUCCUUGCCAUCGUCUUCGCCAUCUUGAUCCUUCACAGACUGCUGAAGAGAAACAGAGAGGAUGAAGAAGAUGAGGAUUGUCACAAGACAAUUGAAUUGGAUGAAGGUGAAAUUAAACAAACCAUUCUGUAGUAACCUGCUCUGCCAACAGCUGGAACCAUAUUACCUGGGACAUAUCUAACAAUGACAAAAAGUAUGGCAAUUAAAUUACAGUUAUGCUGACUUUGAUGAGAGCAUUUUUUUAUUUUUUGAUGUCUUCUUUUACAUUUUUUUUUCUGUUGAUCUUUAUUACUUCCUUAGAACACAGAAACACUGUUUAAUUCAUCAUGUAUAUGUAACAGUAAUGGGUUGUUAACCAUGCCAAGGCUCAAACUGACCACAAACCUGGAUAGUUUUAAUCUACGGGCAGCAGUGAAGCCUACUGGAUGAUCUCUAUAAUGGUUUGCAUAGAUCCAGUAGUGUUUGCAUUCAUCCAGCUCUUGUUCAAACCCACAAAGAUUUGUCUGAAACUUGAAUAAAAUCUCCAAAGUGUCUAAAUAUUCCAAAUGUCUUUAUUAAAUUAAAUUAAUCCCAAACAGAAAAUAAUACUUCAACAGUUUAAUUGAAGGGAGUAGCCAUACAGUUUUCUCAUAAGGUCUGUCUUUCAUCCUGUCUGUGGC